rnacentral:lncRNA from 1 species
CGAGAACUCCCGAGCGAAGCAACAAAACCAUCAAAUAUGGCUGAGCCUCUCGGCUCGUCCUGCAGCCGCCGCGGCCGCGGCCUGAGACGCGCACCCCGACCCGCGCGCCCCCGCGCCUCCGCCCCCGCGUACCUGCUGCGCACGGGCUGGGCCUCCGCGGGCUGCGCGCCGCGCCGCAUGGGUCCGGGCCACCGAGGCCCCGCGAGGAGCCGGGCGGGCCCCUGCUGUCGCCCGCGCGCUCGGCCGGCCCGGCGCGCCCAGGCCCUCCCGGUAGGGCGUGAGGCUGGCGGCGGAGGAAGCGCGGGGACGCAGACUCAUUUCUGGGUCACUGCUGCCACAGGGGGGAGCACUUUAAUCCCCAGCCAAAGGAGAGGGUGGGGACGGUGGGGCGGGGAGCCGCUGGUAGGGGCUUGCUCCCGUUAACUCUUGGGGUCCUGACUGCAGCCAGAGGGGCUCUCCCCCCUCACCCACCUCUGGAGCCCGCAAACCCUCCAGGUGUCUCCUAGGAGGAAGAAGGAAACAAAGCAAAGCAGCAGAAAUCCUAAAUGUGUGUGCUCUUUCUCCCUCUCCCAUUUCCUUAACAAGGAGCAUAAAGACUCCCUCCCUGACAGGAUCUCUGCUUCGCUCUUCCGUCCUGCUAAGAACAAGUGAGGCAC